CCUACGGGAGGCUGCAGUGGGGAAUCUUCCGCAAUGGGCGCAAGCCUGACGGAGCAACGCCGCGUGAGUGAAGAAGGUCUUCGGAUCGUAAAGCUCUGUUGACGGGGACGAACGUGCGAGAGAUGAAUAAACUCUUGCAAUGACGGUACCUGUCGAGGAAGCCACGGCUAACUACGUGCCAGCAGCCGCGGUAAUACGUAGGUGGCGAGCGUUGUCCGGAAUCAUUGGGCGUAAAGGGAGCGCAGGCGGGCAUAUAAGUCUUUCUUAAAAGUGCGGGGCUCAACCCCGUGAUGGGAAAGAAACUAUGUGUCUUGAGUACAGGAGAGGAAAGCGGAAUUCCCAGUGUAGCGGUGAAAUGCGUAGAUAUUGGGAGGAACACCAGUGGCGAAGGCGGCUUUCUGGACUGCAACUGACGCUGAGGCUCGAAAGCCAGGGGAGCGAACGGGAUUAGAUACCCCUGUAGUC
rnacentral:rRNA from 1 species